AUACGGAGGGAGCGAGCGUUAAUCGGAAUUACUGGGCGUAAAGCGCGCGUAGGCGGCUUUGUAAGUCGGAUGUGAAAGCCCAGGGCUCAACCCUGGAAUUGCAUUCGAUACUGCAUAGCUAGAGUAUGGUAGAGGGAAGUGGAAUUUCCGGUGUAGCGGUGAAAUGCGUAGAUAUCGGAAGGAACACCGGUGGCGAAGGCGACUUCCUGGGCCAAUACUGACGCUGAGGUGCGAAAGCGUGGGGAGCAAACAGGAGUAGAAACCCUGGUAGUCC
rnacentral:rRNA from 1 species